GAUGAACGCUGGCGGCGUGCCUAAUACAUGCAAGUCGAGCGAACAGACGAGGAGCUUACUCCUCUGACGUUAGCGGCGGACGGGUGAGUAACACGUGGAUAACCUACCUAUAAGACUGGGAUAACUUCGGGAAACCGGAGCUAAUACCGGAUAACAUGUUGAACCGCAUGGUUCAACAGUGAAAGACGGUCUUGCUGUCACUUAUAGAUAGAUCCGCGUCGCAUUAGCUAGUUGGUAAGGUAACGGCUUACCAAGGCAACGAUGCGUAGCCGACCUGAGAGGGUGAUCGGCCACACUGGAACUGAGACACGGUCCAGACUCCUACGGGAGGCAGCAGUAGGGAAUCUUCCGCAAUGGGCGAAAGCCUGACGGAGCAACGCCGCGUGAGUGAAGAAGGUCUUCGGAUCGUAAAACUCUGUUAUUAGGGAAGAACAAAUGUGUAAGUAACUAUGCACGUCUUGACGGUACCUAAUCAGAAAGCCACGGCUAACUACGUG
rnacentral:rRNA from 1 species